rnacentral:misc_RNA from 1 species
UUAGGGGAGGUACAAUAAUUGUGCGUGGUCCCUCACAGUCACCGAAUAAGAGCGUGGUUGAUGUGAAGCUGUACUUGGCGUGAAAGGAAAAAAAUCAAGAAAAAAAAACGGAGGUCCCUUUCAAAAGAAACCGAAAUUACGAUCUCCAUAUAACGCAACGGGGUCUGUGUUUUUCGUUAGAAAUUGAGGGAAAACUCAUCUCCGAAACUGGAAAACGGAAAACGUAAACUGGUAUCUUUUUGAUGUCUGUACAAGUGGAUGGGAUGAAGCAGCCGGUAACACCGUUUGGGACGCCUGUGAACGGCAGCAUGAAUGCGCUGUCCGAACAGGCAUCACGUCUGCUCGACUUCUCCCAGAAGUUGGACAUCAAUCUGCUGGACAGCGUCGUCUGCUGCAUGUACACGGGCGAGGGGGCCCAGCAACGGCUGGCCCAGGAGGUGCUGACGACGCUGAAGGAGCACCCAGAAGCGUGGACGCGGGUGGACACGAUUCUAGAGUUCUCCAAGAACCAGCAGACCAAGUACUACGCCCUGCAGAUCCUGGAGAAUGUGAUCAAGACCCGCUGGAAGGUGCUGCCCCGCAACCAGUGUGAGGGCAUCAAGAAGUACAUCGUGGGGCUCAUCAUCAAGACCUCGUCCGACCCCGAGGUGCUGGAGAGGGAGCGCGUCUACCUCAACAAGCUCAACAUGAUCCUCGUGCAGAUCCUGAAGCGGGAAUGGCCCAAGAACUGGCCCUCCUUCAUCAGUGACAUUGUGGGCGCCAGCAAGACCAAUGAGAGCCUCUGUCAGAACAACAUGAUCAUCCUCAAGCUGCUCAGCGAGGAGGUGUUUGACUUCUCGAGCGGCCAGAUGACGCAAGCCAAGGCCAAGCAUCUCAAGGACACCAUGUGCAGCGAAUUCUCCCACAUAUUUCAGCUCUGCCAGUUCGUCAUGGAAAACUCCCAAAAUGCUCUGUUGGUUCACGCGACGCUGGAGACGCUGCUGCGGUUUCUCAACUGGAUACCGCUCGGCUACAUCUUUGAGACCAAACUCAUCAGCACCCUCAUCUACAAGUUCCUCAACGUGCCGCUGUUCCGCAACGUGACCCUCAAGUGCUUGACGGAGAUCAGCGGGGUCAACGCGUCUCACUACGACGAGAUGUUUGUGCUCCUCUUCACGCAGACCAUGGCGCAGCUGGAACAGAUGCUGCCUCCUUCCACGGUGAUCAAGGAGGCCUACUCGAACGGCCAAGACGACGAGCAGAAGUUUAUCCAGAACCUGAGCCUGUUCCUGUGCACCUUCCUCAAGGAGCACGGGGCUCUGGUGGAGAAACGGACGGACCUGCGCGAGAUCUUGCAGGCCGCCCUGCACUACCUGCUGCUCAUCUCUGAGGUGGAGGAGGUGGAGAUCUUCAAGAUCUGCCUGGAGUACUGGAACGCCCUGGCCUCGGACCUGUACCGGGAGAUCCCGUACGGGCUGGGCACGGCGGCCCCGCUCUAUGUGGGCAGCGGGCCCUGCACCCCGGGGGGACGGGCUGCCAGCUCCCCGCAGUCCGCCAGGCGCCUGCUCUACGGGCCCGUGCUCACCAAGCUCCGCUACAUCAUGAUUGGGCGCAUGGCGAAGCCGGAGGAGGUGAUAGUGGUGGAGAAUGAGCAGGGUGAGGUGGUGCGGGAGUUCAUGAAGGACACGGACGCCAUCCAGCUCUACAAGAACAUGCGUGAGACGCUGGUAUACUUGACGCACUUGGACUACAUGGACACGGAGCGCAUCAUGACGGAGAAGCUGCACUACCAGGUGAAUGGCACAGAGUGGUCCUGGAAGAACCUCAACACGCUGUGCUGGGCGAUUGGCUCGAUCAGCGGGGCCAUGCACGAGGAGGACGAGAAGCGCUUCCUGGUGACGGUCAUCAAGGACCUGCUGGGGCUGUGCGAGCAGAAGAGGGGCAAGGACAACAAGGCCAUCAUUGCCUCCAACAUCAUGUACGUUGUGGGCCAGUACCCACGCUUCCUCCGGGCCCACUGGAAGUUCCUCAAGACCGUCGUCAACAAGCUCUUCGAGUUCAUGCACGAAACCCACGAAGGGGUGCAGGACAUGGCGUGCGACACCUUCAUCAAGAUCGCCCAGAAAUGCCGGAGGCACUUUGUGCAAGUGCAAGUGGGCGAGGCGGUGCCCUUCAUCGAGGAGAUCCUGGCCAACAUGAGCUCGAUCAUCUACGACCUGCAGCCCCAGCAGGUGCACACCUUCUGCGAGGCGGUGGGCUACAUGAUCAGUGCCCAGGCCGACCAGGCCGUGCAGGAACGCCUGGUCGACCGCUACAUGCUGCUGCCCAACCAGGUCUGGGACGACAUAAUCAAACAGGCCAGCAAGAAUGUGGACGUGCUGAAGGACGCGGAUGCGGUGCGCCAGCUGGGCAACAUCCUCAAGACGAAUGUGCGAGCCUGCAAGGCCCUGGGCCACCCCUACGUGACCCAGCUGGGGCGCAUCUACCUGGACAUGCUCAACGUGUACAAGGUGAUGAGCGAGAACAUCAGUGCGGCGGUGGCCCUCAACGGGGAGGUGGUCACCAAGCAGCCCCUCAUCCGCUCCAUGCGCACCGUCAAGAAGGAGACCCUCAAGCUCAUCUCGGGAUGGGUGUCACGCUCCAACGACCCCAAGAUGGUGCUUGAAAACUUCAUUCCCCCGCUGCUGGAUGCGGUACUCCUCGACUACCAGCGGUGCACGGUGCCGUCUGCCCGGGAACCUGAAGUACUCUCCGCCAUGUCCAUGAUUGUGCACCGGUUAGAGAGUUUCAUCACUUGCGAGAUUCCCAAGAUCUUCGACGCGGUGUUCGAGUGCACGUUGAGUAUGAUCAACAAGGACUUUGAGGAGUUCCCAGAACACAGAACCAACUUCUUCCUUCUUCUCCAGGCUGUGGUUACUCACUGCUUCCCCGCUUUGCUGAAUAUUCCUCCUGCACAGUUCAAGCUCGUGCUCGAUUCCAUCAUCUGGGCGUUCAAACACACAAUGCGGAAUGUCGCCGACGUCGGCCUGCAGAUCCUGUACCAGCUGCUGCAGAACAUAGCGGGAGAGGAGAUGGCGUCACAGAGCUUCUACCAGACCUACUACACGGACGUCAUGCAGCACCUGUUCUCCGUCGUCACGGACACCUCCCACACCGCAGGGCUGUCCAUGCAGGCGACCAUCUUGGCGUACAUGUUCAGCAUAGUGGAGGCGAACCGGGUGACGGUGCCGCUCAACCCAGCCCUGCAGCAGGCCAACGGAUUGGCCAACCUGGCCUACGUCCAGGACUUCGUCGCAAACCUGCUCAAGACCGCCUUCUCUCACCUCUCGGACGCACAAGUGAAGAUCACAGUCCAGGGCUUCUUCAACUUGAAUCAAGACAUCCAGGCAUUCAAGGAGCAUUUGCGGGACUUCCUAGUUCAAAUCAGGGAGUACACGGGCGAGGACGACAGCGACCUGUUCCUCGAAGAGCGGGAGGUGGCGCUGCGGCAAGCAGAAGAAGAGAAGCGCAAGAUCAGGAUGCUCGUUCCAGGAAUCCUCAAUCCCCACGAGAUCCCAGAAGAGAUGCAGGACUGAGCCGGUUUUCCGCUUCCUUAGUGCAGGCGUGUUUGUGCGACUGCCCCUAAAGCCUCUUCUCUCCCCCACCCCCUUUCCCCCUCGCGGAAGUGGUUAUACCUGCUUUUGCUUCCCAUCUCCCCCGCCCCUCUCUCUCGAGUCAUUUCUUUUUUUUUUGUCGUCGCAUAAGUUAUAUUUGCGUUGCUGUAUAUUUACCAUACCACCCCUUCCCCCCACCCCCCCUUCACGUCCUCCUUCGACUCUGAUCGAAAACACGCUUUUGCGAGAGAUGAAAUUUUUGGACGGAGUUUCUUCAUUUUGGUGUCCACCGCCUCCGCUGCGUCGUCGACGGUUGUCUGCCUCGGCUUUGGUCGCCUCUCCUGGUUGCUGGUUACGAAGACGCGGAGUCGUCUUGCGGUCUGUCCCGCCCGCCGCUGUCUGGCUAGGGUUGGCCGUCGUGUCGGCUAGAUUGGAUCAGUGCCGAGAUUUUCGAAGUCUGAUUUUGAAACGGUCUUGACGCCGAGGGUCUGAGAUUGGUUACUCGAGACAAUUUCGAUGUAACUCGACACGAGUCGAAUCCUCAAGAAUUUGUUCAGAGGUUAUCUCAGUGUCCUUUCCACGUUUGACAGCUUAAUCUCGGUCGAGGCAAGCGCGUCUAACCUCGGCACAACGCCGGUUCGACUUCGUGCACGCGUCAGCCUACAUCGACGGCCGGUUUGUUCCAACUUCAAACGUUGGUUCGAAACUGCUUCCACGUCGGUCAACCCAACAUCCAUUUUCGAUCCAGCGUUGGUUUCAUAUAAUCUUCCAAAGGUUAAAAUUCUUUCCCGGAGUACCAGUGGGGAUUUCCCGCUCCGCCGAAAACGUCCCGUCGGUGCUGGGAAGAGGAACGGCGCUCUUCGUGGGUCUGGCUGCAGUGUGGCUGUGCGAUUGUGCGUGCCUGUGUGCGUGUGUGCGUGCGUGCCUGGCGAGCGAACGCCUCCGACAGAGGACUUCUCGUCGCGGGGCGUCUGUCAUCGCAAACACAGAGUACUCUGCCCGACCAGGGGCAGACGGCGCGUGGCUUUCAAGAUGCGAAUUGAGAAGACGACGACAACUGCGACCCUGCGGCCGACACCUGUGGCGGAACACAGAGGAAGAACGUUGGAAGAGAGACGUUCCACAACCCACGACAUUGAUUUUCCUCUUUCGUUUUCACUCGUCGUCGAGCGCCGACGUCGACGUUCUUGCGUUUCAAUAUUUAUUAACUCGCUUCCGUUGUAGCUUAUUUGAGUUUCCGACGGUACGAACGCUGUCUUUGCCGUCAGAGUCCUACGGUUGUGCCGUUCCGAUUUUAUUUUAUUUUUCGGGCUUGCGGGAAGACCGGAAGCAGUGACGAGUGCAGCGGGAGGUAGCGUGCCCCUUCUAGACCGUCGGAGCACGCGACGUCCACCGGACGGAUGCAAGAUGACUCUGCAGUCUUUGGGUUCAGCGACGCGGCGGAAGACGGAAGCACGAGCAGCAUGUGAAGAAGCUACCCACUACGUGAAGCAUCUGGGAGAAUGUGGCGUGAGUGUUGUGUGUGCGUGAGAAAAAAAGGAAAAAAAAAGAUGGUGGCAUUGGGCGGAUUUUGUGCACAUGCCGAGCGUGUAUGUCUGUGCAUCUUUUCUCUCUUAUGUGUUGCGUAUGGAACCUCAAGGGGAAAAAAGAAAAACUGCUGGUGUGCGAUGUGCGUUAAAAAAUUUCGGUGUGUGGUUGGUUGGUGUGCAUCCGUGCCUGAUUGGAAACAGUUAUGUGAGAUUAGAUGUGUGCAUUUUUUUGUCGUGUUGGAGGAUUUUUUUUUUUUCUUGGCUGUUUAGUGUAUUGGAGAAGAGCAAAAAAAAAAAAAAAAACACGUUUUUGCUGGAAUAAAUGAGUGUUUUUACAUAGCUGGCA